UGUAAAGUGGGCAGCGCGCCGUAGAAGACAGCGGCAGAGGAACGACGUCAGGGGAAGGAGAAAGGCUACGCUGUAGGUGAAGCUGCUGGCUCCGUGUCCAGUUACAAUUAUUAAGGACUCUUCGUGCCUUCGUGCAGGAAGAAGGAAGAAGAAGAAGAAGACGAAGACGGAGGUUAGAAUCCGGCGAAUGCUCCGCUAAUUAUCCGAUCCCCGCGUCUCCGGACUAAUGGGUCGGCAAAGAGGGAAAAAGAGAGGGAAAAAGAGAAUGAGAGAGAGAGAGACCACCGACAAUAUCCAAUUGAUCAUCCGACAAUCCUUUCUGAUGAACGAGGGAACUUCCUAUCUUGUAACGUGAAAGGAAAAUCCUCUUGAAAUCUUAUUUCGUUAUCGUCGACGAAAGUUAUCGUUUACACGUUUACACUACUCGAUCUACAACGCAACAUGCAAAUACACAGAAUAAGUAUAUGACACUAAAAUUUUACGACGAAUGAAAAACAAAAAGAAGAAAAAAAAAUUAAUACAUCAUAUACCCAAGUAAAAAUGAUAAAGAUAGAGUUUAACGAAGAAUCUAAAAAAAAAACAAUAAUGAUAAAUGAUAAGUAAACGAUUACAUUUAAUUACGUCUUAUUGGUUACUCGUCGACAUUCGAUUACUUUCAAUUAGAAUGACGAAAUCAUCAUUGACUAUGACGAUAUUAGAAAAUUUUCUUAAUAGUUUCGAUCCGUCUCUUGUAUAAACUUACGAGGAUGAUGCUAAUGGCCGAACGAUUCGCUAAUGAAUUCCCGGCACUGUUUGCCGGCUAUUUAUUUGGAGCAUCAUCAAAUAUACUGCGUACCCUCGGUAAUUGGUUAAUAAAACCCCGGAAGGGAGCUCUCUUUCCGGCGUGAUUAAUUGCGGCCGCGAGCGAUUCUCUUCUCGUUUCGAGGCUUGGCCAACGGCCCGCCAUCACAGUCACCUCCCUCGUCUCUCUUCUUCUUCUUCUUCUUCUUCUUCGCGAGUCUAUUCUCUCUCUCUCUCUCUCUCUCUCUCGCUUUCUCGCUCUCUCUCUCUCUCUCUCUCGCUCUCUCGCUCUCUCGCUCUCUCUCUCUCUCUCGCUCUCUCUCUCUCUUUUCUCUCUCUUUUUCUCUAUCUCUCUCACUCACUCUUUCUGCGUAUAGUUUCUCUUCUUAUCGUUUUGUAUCGCCUUCACGCUUUAAAGAAAGAGUUCAACGUCGCUUGAAACAACUUCAUUAGACCGUUAGAUCGUUAGUCCAUCGCAAAGAAAGGAAUGAAAAAAAAAAAAGAAAAACAAACAAUAAAGAAAAAAAUAAGAAGAAAAAAAACAUAUACGAAGCAUUGUACUUCGUAUCUUGAUAAGACGACUCUUUGUAUCCGUCAAUAUUUUAUAUAUUCUCUCGAAGAUCCGUGAAAUUCUUCUAUCGUCCAUUUUUAUUUUGAAUCUUUUUCGAACGAGUCCCGAUUAAUGGCAGAGAGUAUUUGAAAUGGAACGAUGAUUGUUAGAUCAACGUUUACUCCUCAUUGUUUGUUGUCGAUCAGAAAAAAGUGAUCUCCAUUUACUUCGUAGUAUAUAUGUACGUGUGCAUAUGUUCGUAACUGUAGUCGGUGAAAUUAAUUUUUAUAUCGUCGAUUAUAAAAUUAAAAAAAAAUAUAUUCAAGUAUCUGUUAAGUAAAGAAUACUUAUAUAAAUGAACACGUAUUUA